AUGGGGCGCCACAGCAGCAACGCCAGCAAAGCCGAGGCCGGCGGCGAGCAGCACCGCAAGGAGGAGAAGCACCACAAGCACAUGGAGCAGCUCGCCCAGCUCGGCGCCGUCGCAGCCGGAGCAUACGCGCUGCAUGAGAAGCACAAGGCGAAGAAGGACCCGGAGAAUGCCCGGUCGCACAGGAUCAAGGAGGAGAUCGCAGCCACGGUCGCCGUUGGUAGCGCCGGCUUCGCCUUCCAUGAGCACCACAAGAAGAAAGACGCCAAGAAGCACGGCCGCCAUUGA
rnacentral:rRNA from 1 species